rnacentral:rRNA from 1 species
GGGCCCGCACAAGCGGAGGAACAUGUGGUUUAAUUCGAUGAUACGCGAGGAACCUUACCCGGGCUCGAACGGUGGAUGCAUGAUCUGGAAACAGACAGUCCUUCGGGACAUCCAUCGAGGUGCUGCAUGGUUGUCGUCAGCUCGUGCCGUGAGGUGUCGGCUUAAGUGCCAUAACGAGCGCAACCCCUACCGUUAGUUACCAUCAGGUCAUGCUGGGGACUCUAGCGGGACUGCCACCGUAAGGUGUGAGGAAGGUGGGGAGUGACGUCAAAUACAGCACGGCCCUUACGUCCGGGGCGACACACGUGUUACAAUGGGUGGGACAGCAGGCAGCUACCUGGUGACAGGAUGCCAAUCCCCAAACCCACUCCCAGUUCGGAUUGGAGUCUGCAACUCGACUCCAUGAAGCUGGAUUCGCUAGUAAUCGCGCAUCAGCCAUGGCG